GACGAACGCUGGCGGCGUGCCUAAUACAUGCAAGUCGAGCGAAGCGGCGGAUGGGUGAGUAAAGCGUGGGUAACCUGCCCUUAAGUCUGGGAUACCAUUUGGAAACAGAUGCUAAUACCGGAUACUAAAGGAUGGACCUGCGAUGCAUUAGCUAGUUGGUAAGGUAACGGCGUACCAAGGCGAUGAUGCAUAAACGAAUUAAGAGAUGGAUCGGCCACAUUGGGACUGAGACACGGCCCAAACGCCUACGGGAGGAAGCAGUAGAGAAUCUUCCACAAUAGACGAAAGUCUGAUGCAGGAACGCCGCGUGAGUGAAGAAGGUUUUCGGAUCGUAAAGCUCUGUUGUUGGUGAAGCGGUAAUCAACCAAAAAGUCACGGCUAACUACGUGCCAGCAGCCGCGGUAAUAC
rnacentral:rRNA from 1 species